CCCUCAUGAAGCUGGAUUCCGUAGUAAUCGUGUUUCAAUAUAGCACGGUGAAUAUGCCCCUGCUCCUUGCACACACCGCCCGUCAAACCAUCUUAGUUGGGGGUGGGUGAGGCUGCGCUUUAUGGCGUAUUCGAGCCUGUCUUCGACAAGGAGGGUUAAGUCGUAACAAGGUAUCUGUAGGGGAACCUGCAGAUGGAUCACCUCCU
rnacentral:rRNA from 1 species